ACGUAUGGUGCAAGCGUUAUCCGGAUUUACUGGGUGUAAAGGGAGCGCAGGCGGUGCGGCAAGUCUGAUGUGAAAGCCCGGGGCUCAACCCCGGUACUGCAUUGGAAACUGUCGUACUAGAGUGUCGGAGGGGUAAGCAGAAUUCCUAGUGUAGCGGUGAAAUGCGUAGAUAUUAGGAGGAACACCAGUGGCGAAGGCGGCUUACUGGACGAUAACUGACGCUGAGGCUCGAAAGCGUGGGGAGCAAACAG
rnacentral:rRNA from 1 species